CUGGAGUCCAGAGCCCCAGCCCCGCAGGUGGCGCCCCCUUGGGGGCGGUGGUGGGCGGGGCUUGCAGGGGACAG
rnacentral:miRNA from 1 species